UCACCCAUGUGCGAAUGUUUCUUUCUGAUGCAUAUAUUGCCUAUAAAAGCCAUCUCCUUGAUCAUAAUAAACCAAUUCGUUUUUCUUUCAUUAAUCUCUGCAUCAUAAUGAGAUCAAGGAGGUCUCUCCGUUUGAGAAGAAAGAAAGCAGGAGUGAUGAAUCAUAAGGCUUCUCAAACUUCAUCAACUCAAAGGAAGAUUAAGCAGCUUCAAAGGAUCGUUAAUAUUAAUCCUGGCAGCAGCCAAGAAAUGGACAUGGAGACUUUGUUUCAAAGAGUUGCUGAUUACAUCUUUUCACUGCAAGUUAAAGGCUACCUGCAUGCAAAACAUGAUACUGUAAAAUUUGGUAGUUGAAUGCAUCUAUCAAACUCCAAUUAUUUUGCAGUUGUAUCGAAGCUUGGACUGAGAACGACAACCCUAAAGUGUUUUUUGGUUUUUUCCAUUCCAAGUCAAAGCCAAUCUUAUUAUAAAUCUCAUAUGUGUCGAUGAACAUAUAUACGGUCAAUAAAAUAUAUUUAAUAAAA